rnacentral:rRNA from 1 species
GAUGAACGCUGGCGGCGUGCCUAAUACAUGCAAGUCGAGCGAAUGGAUUAAGAGCUUGCUCUUAUGAAGUUAGCGGCGGACGGGUGAGUAACACGUGGGUAACCUGCCCAUAAGACUGGGAUAACACCGGGAAACCGGGGCGAAUACCGGAUAACAUUUUGAACCGCAUGGUUCGAAAUUGAAAGGCGGCUUCGGCUGUCUCUUAUGGAUGGACCCGCGUCGCAUUAGCUAGUUGGUGAGGUAACGGCUCACCAAGGCAACGAUGCGUAGCCGACCUGAGAGGGUGAUCGGCCACGCUGGGACUGAGACACGGCCCAGACUCCUACGGGAGGCAGCAGUAGGGAAUCUUCCGCAGUGGACGAAAGUCUGACGGAGCAACGCCGCGUGAGUGAUGAAGGCUUUCGGGUCGUAAAACUCUGUUGUUAGGGAAGAACAAGUGCUAGUUGAAUAAGCUGGCACCUUGACGGUACCUAACCAGAAAGCCACGGCUAACUACGUGCCAGCCGCCGCAGUAA